GCUUGCUUCUCUUGAGAGCGGCGGACGGGUGAGUAAUGCCUAGGAAUCUGCCUGGUAGUGGGGGAUAACGUUCGGAAACGGACGCUAAUACCGCAUACGUCCUACGGGAGAAAGCAGGGGACCUUCGGGCCUUGCGCUAUCAGAUGAGCCUAGGUCGGAUUAGCUAGUUGGUGAGGUAAUGGCUCACCAAGGCGACGAUCCGUAACUGGUCUGAGAGGAUGAUCAGUCACACUGGAACUGAGACACGGUCCAGACUCCUACGGGAGGCAGCAGUGGGGAAUAUUGGACAAUGGGCGAAAGCCUGAUCCAGCCAUGCCGCGUGUGUGAAGAAGGUCUUCGGAUUGUAAAGCACUUUAAGUUGGGAGGAAGGGCAGUUACCUAAUACGUGAUUGUUUUGACGUUACCGACAGAAUAAGCACCGGCUAACUCUGUGCCAGCAGCCGCGGUAAUACAGAGGGUGCAAGCGUUAAUCGGAAUUACUGGGCGUAAAGCGCGCGUAGGUGGUUUGUUAAGUUGGAUGUGAAAUCCCCGGGCUCAACCUGGGAACUGCAUUCAAAACUGACUGACUAGAGUAUGGUAGAGGGUGGUGGAAUUUCCUGUGUAGCGGUGAAAUGCGUAGAUAUAGGAAGGAACACCAGUGGCGAAGGCGACCACCUGGACUAAUACUGACACUGAGGUGCGAAAGCGUGGGGAGCAAACAGGAUUAGAUACCCUGGUAGUCCACGCCGUAAACGAUGUCAACUAGCCGUUGGAAGCCUUGAGCUUUUAGUGGCGCAGCUAACGCAUUAA
rnacentral:rRNA from 1 species